AAUGUGAUAGAGGAAUGAUCCAGAGACUUUGAAGGACAGAACCUGGAAGAAAUUGCAAGGAUUUCCAUCCACAGCGGGGGAUGGUUGAGGAGGCUUGGAAUAUUGAGGGAAGAGAGAUUCCAGGUGGGAGGCAGUUGAUCUUUCUAUCUUGAGACAGCAAAGGUGCAGGUCUGAUCAGAGACUGGAACCUGAGCCUUACAAAAUCCCUCAUUGAACUUAACCACCAUUUCCCCCCAAAGAUACCAAGAAGUGUGGCAGAUACCGGAGAAGAAUAAGAACAGCAUAACAAGAUCUCGCAGAGCUCCUAUGACACCCCAGAUCUGGACAUUGGCCCUGCUGGGAUAAAGACUAGGGGUCACAAACCUGAACCUCUCAGAGACCAGGCUGGCAAGACUGAGUCUCUCAACUUUGGAGGGAGGGAAAAAGAUAUUUUAGACAGAUAGGGACUUCCUUUCCCCUCUUUGCUAUAGACCCCAAUCUUCAGACAUCUUUCUUAUUUUACCCCUAACCACAAUUUGUUAGAAUAAAGUUGUCAGUUAUCCUAAAUUGGCUUCCUUGUCAUAGUGGAAGAGGGAGAGAGCUGAUUUCUCUCUCUCUCUCUUUCCCCAAGGGAAGAGGUUCACCCAUUAAAUAAGUUAUUAGAGGGGAGUAAAGGCAGGGUUCGUGGGGAGACAUAUUUGAGGAAGACUGAAGGGGGGAAUCCAUCUCACCCUCCUUCUACCUUUUGGGCAUUUAUCAUCAACUCUUUCUCCAUUAUACCCACACCAACCCUCUACUACAACAACAGCCCUGGAAGGAGAACCAGGGCUAAGGAGUCAUCAAGAAAAUGAUGAGAAGAAGAAAAAAAUGAUCUAGUCACAUUUCCAGACUGGCAAAUAACCAGUGGGCAGACUGGGUAUCCCACUGGUAUACUCACAAAGACAUAAUAAGUAAUAAUAUCUAAUAUUUACAUAGCAGCAAUUCCAUAUAUGUUAACUCAUUAAAUCCUCACUACCACCCUGAGAAUUCUAUGCUAUCAUUAGUUUCAUUUCACAGAUGAGAAAACUGAGGCAAGUCAGGGUUAAAUCAAGGGUCACGCAGGCAAAAAACACCUGAGAUAAAAAUAUGAACUCAAGUUUUCCUAAUUACAGGUACUGCCCUUUAUCUAUAGAGCCAGCAAUCUGUCUGAUGCCAAGCAAGAUGAAAGAAGGAGAUAGCUAGGUGGCUUAGAGUAUAGAUAGUCAGGCCUGGAGACUGGAGGUCCUGUGUUCAAAUCUGCUCUCAGCUACUUCCUAGCUGUGUGACCCUGGGCAAGUCACCUGCCUCCAGUUGCUUAGCCCUUACCAUUCUUCUGCUUUAAACCGAUAUCUAGUAUCAAUUCUAAGACAGAAGGCAAGGGUUAAAAAUCAUAGAAGGUCCUGAGCAUGUUAGGCAUGAGAUAAAAUGGACAAGUGACUCAUAGGAUGGACAGAUGUGAA
rnacentral:lncRNA from 1 species